AUUGAACGCUGGCGGCAGGCUUAACACAUGCAAGUCGAGCGAGCGGCGGACGGGUGAGUAAUGUCUGUGAAACUGCCUGAUGGAGGGGGAUAACUCCUGGAAACGGUAGCUAAUACCGCAUACCAUCAACUGUGACAAGAUGGGAUUAGCUAGUAGGUGGGGUAAUGGCUUACCUAGGCGACGAUCCCUAGCUGGUCUGAGAGGAUGACCAGCCACACUGGAACUGAGACACGGUCCAGACUCCUACGGGAGGCAGCAGUGGUGAAUAUGGCACAAUGGGCGCAAGCCUGAUGCAUCCAUGCCGCGUGAGGGAAGAAGGCCUUCGGGGGGUAAAGCACUGUCAGUGUGGAGGCGUUACUCGCACAAGAAGCACCGGCUAACUACGUGCCAGCAGCCGCGGUAAUUC
rnacentral:rRNA from 1 species